rnacentral:lncRNA from 1 species
GCCAGGGCCUGCUGCUCUAAGGCUUGCUCCCACUGUACACAUUUUGGUCUCUCUUUGGUUUCUUCUCUGCCAACGUGUGAAACUUGCCUUAGAUCAGAGUUGAUGCACUGACUGACUAACUGACAGGCCACCCUGAAAAACUGCCAACCCAGGCUGGGGUUUGGAUAGCAAAAUAUGAGGCUGGAAACCGCCUGAGAACUGAGCUCAGCUCCCUCUACUGAGAUGGGCCUCUGUCCAACCUACAAGAAAUGAAGAACAGUGGCCAUUCAGCCAACCAGGAGUUCAUUUCCAAAUAAUCCUUCCCACGACCUCGACAGAGUCCCCAAGCACAGCUCUGCAGGGGCAUGUUCCAGAGGCCUGUGGAGCCCCACACCCCGGCCUGGCAGCCCCCAGCCCUGACUGCUGCCUGCUGCCCUCCUGCUGUGGCUAGCCAAGGAGAGGAGAGUUAUGUUCAAGUUGGCUUCAGUGUGGUGACAGCUGUACCAGCUCCAUGCCUCACACAUAAUGGAUCCAAGUACCCUUCUCACUCUCGGAAAGAGAAGAAAGCACUCUCGUCCUCUCUCUGGACAGAUGAAGAUUCUUCCCUCAGUAACCCAGGAGAACAUUUCUUAUGAGCUCUGAAGAAGAAUCGAAGCUGCCAGGCACAUUUUAUGGGUCAUAUGCAAUUGAUUUCCUGACUCCUGCCUUCACUGAAAAUCACUAAACUGUGAUAGAAAAAAAAUUAUGU